UACAGAGGUCCCGAGCGUUUUUCGGAUUCACUGGGCGUAAAGGGUGCGUAGGCGGUCGGGUAAGUCAGGUGUGAAAGCUCUGGGCUUAACCCAGGAAUUGCAUCUGAUACUGCUCGGCUUGAGUACGGUAGAGGAGGGUGGAAUUCCCAGUGUAGCGGUGAAAUGCGUAGAUAUUGGGAGGAACACCGGUGGCGAAGGCGGCCCUCUGGACCGAAACUGACACUGAAGCGCGAAAGCUAGGGGAGCAAACGGG
rnacentral:rRNA from 1 species